rnacentral:rRNA from 1 species
UGGGCCUACGGGACGCAGCAGUGGGGAAUAUUGGGCAAUGGGCGCAAGCCUGACCCAGCAAUGCCGCGUGAAGGAAGAAGGCCCUCGGGUUGUAAACUUCUUUUAUCAGGGACGAAGGAUGUGACGGUACCUGAUGAAGAAGCCCUGGCUAACUACGUGCCAGCAGCCGCGGUAAUACGUAGGGGGCAAGCGUUAUCCGGAUUUACUGGGUGUAAAGGGAGCGUAGACGGUCCUGCAAGCCAGAUGUGAAAGCCCGGGGCUCAA